rnacentral:rRNA from 1 species
ACUCCUACGGGAGGCAGCAGUAGGGAAUUUUGCGCAAUGGAGGGAACUCUGACCGAGCAAUGCCGCGUGAAUGAAGAAGUACUUCGGUAUGUAAAGUUCUUUUAUUGGGGAAGAACGGCUAGUGGAAAAGCUAGAGUGACGGUACCCAUUGAAUAAGCCCCGGCUAACUAUGUGCCAGCAGCCGCGGUAAU